rnacentral:lncRNA from 10 species
CCAAAAUAUGCCCUAAUAUAUAUGCCAAUGAAUUGAUAUUGAAGACUGCUAACAAUUUUCAUUUUCUAUAUUCUUUCCUAUAGAUUAUUCUAUUUGAUGACUCUCCAUCUCAAACAUAAUAGGAGUGUGCUUCCCCUCUGGGUUUCAUAAAUUUCCAUUGGCAGAAAUGAUUUUCCCUGUCUGGCAAUAUUGUCUGUGCUAACCAAAGUAUUUGCUCUCCCAAUUUAGAUUUUGAAGUUGGAAGAAGUGGCAAAAUGUGAAAAGCAAGAAGCAAGUAUUACCAGAGACACCUAUGAAAAAGAAAUCUUUCUGAAGAACAUUUUUAAAGUGCCAUAAUCUGUUCGGUGAAUCCAAAGGCUGAAAGAGACUGAGUAACAGCUAUUAAGUAAGGUGAAAAUGUUAUUUUACAUGGAAACCUAUUUUGUUCCAUAAAACUAAAUAAACCAUAACCCAGAAGUGCAAUGAGACACACACAGCAUGACCACAUUAUUUCUGAAAGCUGAAGAGUUGCCAGUCUGUUGAUCUCAAACUUCAUGAACCACACAGUUCAGUUCAAAUUGUUUCCCUGAAAUUGCUUUGAGCCUCUGCCAAACAGCCACUGAAGGACUCCGAAAAAUACAAGAACUGAAAGGGGCACAUGGCAGAUACAAUCAUAAACUUUCAUUUCGGAGAGCAGUAAAAAAGGAGAAGAAGAACACACUGGUACUCCAACAAGUCAUAGUUUCUGCCAGAUGUUGCAAAAGUGAGUUAGAUAACUGACCUUUCUUCUGGGGCCUGUGUCAACUUUGAAUGGAGCUUUCAAUUGUACAAUAAGCAUCUGGACAGUUUUGACAUCUUUAUAACACUCUUUGAGUUCUUAAAAAGCUACCAUUUUGUUUAAAGAUGAUUUAUGUGAAGAUUAAAACAAUUACUUAAGUGCUAAGAAUAAUUAAUCCUGUAACUCCAUAUCAAUACCAUUAUCUUCCCAGAACUGGGUCUCUAACUACUAAUCAUAAUCAAGACACCAACUGUCAAAUCAAAUCAAAAUUAAAAUUUGAUUAAUUAUUUGAUGAUAUUAACAUUCAAAUCUAGUUCCUUCUUAGGCCUAAUUUUGUCCUUAUGUUUGCUUUGCACUGAAUUAUUGUGGUUUAAAUAGCCCAUUUUACAUGACAACUUUCAAACAAGAGCAUAAAUUCUCAUAAAAACAGGCUAAGGAAUUCAUAAUGAUAGCUCUUGGCCGCCACCUAAAGGUUUAUUUCUUGUUUUAUUUUACAUGAGACCUACUAUGCAUUCCUUUUAUAAUAAAAUUGUUGUCUUGUCAUCACAUGUUUCUGCAUAAGUACAGGGUAAAAAGACUUUUUCAAGUUUGUUUUUUCACCUUUAUGUAGUUAAAUUAACAGCAUAUAUAAUUAUAUCUACUUUUCAAUUCAUUCAACACAACACACACAAAGAAAACCAGUUUAAACAAGGUUCUUUUAAAUGGUCAGAAAAUUUUUAUGCGUUUAAGAAAUAGUGUGUUCUUAUUAUGUAUCACCCCCCACACCUAAGGCCCGUAAUGAAAGAAAUUUAACUAAACUCACAUUUACUGAACCACUGUUGAGUGUAAUGUAAUAGAAAACUCCUCAAAUUCCAUCAAGAACAUUAACAGAUAUAACUUCUUCAUUACGCUUGAGAGUAAAUGAGAUACUAUAAUUAAUGAUUCUUGCUCCGUAUCUUAUUAUCACUCCCUUUAUUCUCCUCCUAAAAAGCACUUGAUUGAAUCAAGCUAAAUAUCUUCAACGCCUUACUUGGACUCUGACAAAGUCAACCUUGGAGAAUGGAUUUAUGAUAUCAUAGGGAAAAUUAGUUAUGAACUCUACAAACUUCUCAUUUCAAAGCUCAUAUGGAUAGAGCAUCUAUGAAUCACUCAAAUUCUUGUUAAACAUAUAGACAAGUUGCAUUAGCACAUGCACUUUCCAAUAUAUAGUCCAUGUACUUAUCCUUGAUUUAUCUAUAGAACGCCAUUCAUGAUUUUAUUAAUUCAAAAAAUAUUUACUAGGCACCUACUAUGUGCCAGGCACCCAUCAUUAUCAGUGUUCAGUAAAGCAGACUGGUCUUUCCCUUCAUCGAUCUUGUGAAGGCAACAGAAAAUGAACAAAAAAAUAGGUAAAACAUAUAAAGAUACUGGCUACAAAGGAACUGAAUACCAUACCAUUAUAGGGAAUAAUUCUGGGGAGACACAGACCAACAAUAGGUAGGUAAGUCAAGAAAGGCCUCUCCUAGGAGACAGUUUUUAAACUGGGACCUGAAGAAUAAACAGCCGGCUCUGCCAAGAAUAGAGAGGAAGAGGUGGAGGAAAUUGUGUACGCAAAGGACAAAUACUAACAGAGGGCCAAGGGAACUAAAGCAGAGUGAGCCAAGGGGAGUGUCAUGGAUGGGAUUAGAGAAGUAAGCAGAAACCAAAUCAUGCAAGGCCUUGAAAGCUAUGGUAAGGAUUUGGGGUUUUAUUUGAAAGAGAAUGGAAAGCCAUGAUAGCAGGUUAAAAAAGGAAGUAAAUUGAUCUGUUGGCUGCAUGAAGAAGGAAUUAGAGGCAGCCAAGAGAAAAGGGAGAUAGAAGUCUAUCACAGAAAUACAGAUGGGAGAGAUGAUGGUGAUGGUGACAUGGACAAGGUGGUAGCAGUGGAGGCAAAAACAAGUGAUCACAUUUGUGAUGCAUUUUGGAGUGAGGCCUUGGUGGAUCAGAUGACCCUGUGGUUCUGCUGUUCCUUCCCAGCUUGUUAGCAUCUGCUGACAUAACUUUGAAAAGCUGACAUAGUUUUCCAAAUAAGAUUUUAAAUCACACCCAAGCUUUUAAUUCAGUUUUUUUAAGUUUUAAAGAAAAUAUCUUAAUAGAAUGACCAAUUUGUACAUCGAGAAACACUUAUUAUAUAGUAUCUUCUGCAAAUGAAAUAGUCCACAAAACUAAUUUUAUAAAUAAUGGAAGUGUAUCUAUUAAAAGCAAAAGAGCUUAUUUUACUUUAACCACUUUGAAAUAAUUAUUUUCUAAAAUUGUUCAAUAUUUCCUUGAUCUUUCAAACAGAAUAUAUUCAAAAUAGUUAAGCUUCUCAAAAACUCAAACAUAUUGUGAAGAAACGUAUAUGAAACAUACCUCUGUAGUAUGUAGUAUGGCUAAAAAUAGUGAGAGGCAAAAAUGAGUUUCCCCUACUCUGAAAAACUGAAAACUACCUUGCUGUGAAAUCAUUACAUUUUUAUUUUGUUGCCUCAGUUUCCCAUAGUCCUUAUGGUGCCUGACUGUCGUUAUCAACUUCUGACUCAUUCUAACACACUGCUUUACCUUGGCUGUAAGCUGGGAACCCUGCUAUCAGAAAUUCAUGUAAGUUUAUAGAAAAAGACUCUAAGUAAAGGGUAUGAAUUUUUGCAUUCUAUUUGGAUUGCACAGAGGCCUUUUUACACUCUGCUUUCUCAAGUAUAGUUUAGGCCAUUGAAGCUGCUUAAUCAGCAACAUGUAAGUCAAGGAAAUCUCCCUACAUUAGCAUGUUAUUUCCUACAGUUUCAUAAUGCCCCUUGAAAACUGAAUCCACAUUAAUAUAUACAUUAUCAUUUUUAAGUUUCUAUAAAGAAUCCUUCCUUGUGAUACAACUUCAACUACAUAAUUAUAAAUGUUGACUUUUCAUUUGAUGCCUAAAGUAUAGUUUUCAAAUGUAACAUAAAAGCAUUUUAUGGUAAAAUUUGACCCAAAAAGUAGAAUUUAUGUGUCUCAUAAAAGCAUAUAAAAUUUGACCCAAGAAAUAAUUUCAAAUUUCUUGACUCAGACUAUAAUAUUAUCUCUUUUCUUUUUUCAUUUUGACAUGGCAUGGAAACAAAAACAGAUCAAAUGUCCACAGAAACCCAAUCAGCAACACUACUUUCAAAGUGUCUUUUGACAAGUAAUAUGUGCAUUUUACAAAUCCAAAGGCAAUAUUUGAAGUAGCUCUUCAAAACAGCUGCAUUACUCAAAGCUAUCUCUGUAUCAUCGCCUUGUUUCCUGGAAGAAAAUGUGGAAAUGUGUACUGAAAAUGUGUAAAUGAUUAAAGCAUCAGUAUAAAGAAAAAACAUUCUGAAGAUGAAUAAAAAUUAUUUUGAGGGCUUGUUGAAAAACCAAACACCAGAUGUCCACGGCUGACUUGCCAAAUGAAAAUCCUUGAAAGAAAGGUCCAGAAAUUGGCAUUUCAAAUGAAUAUACCCCAGCUGAUUGACACAGGUGUUCCUUUGAGCAAUCCUGGAUAGCACUGUUGUAGACCCUAGGUAAGCAAUUGUGUGAUCUGCUUUUUCAACUUUGUGGUAGAUUGUAUUUUCCAAAGAUGACAGCACCAGUACAUACCAUCCUAUAUGCUCUUCCUAUAAGGUGACAUUGACAUGUCUCCACCAAAUGAUGGGAUUUACGUUACCUCUUCUUGGACCCGGGUGAACUUUUGACUACAGUAGAAGUGACACUAUGUGACUUCUAAGGCCAAUUCAUAAAAUGCAAUACAGCUUCCUCCUGGCUCCCUUGGGAUGCUGGCCCUAG